rnacentral:rRNA from 1 species
UACGAAGGGGGCUAGCGUUGCUCGGAAUCACUGGGCGUAAAGCGCACGUAGGCGGAUCUUUAAGUCAGGGGUGAAAUCCUGGAGCUCAACUCCAGAACUGCCUUUGAUACUGGGGAUCUCGAGUCCGGAAGAGGUGAGUGGAACUCCGAGUGUAGAGGUGAAAUUCGUAGAUAUUCGGAAGAACACCAGUGGCGAAGGCGGCCCACUGGUCCGGUACUGACGCUGAGGUGCGAAAGCGUGGGGAGCAAACAGG